UGUCUUCGGGGCGGGGUGGAAUUCCCCACUGGCGGUGAUGCGGUUAUAGCCGAUAAGCCCGCGAGCGAAAGCUGAUUUUGGUGAGAAUCCAGAGCCAACGGUAUAGUCCGGAUGAAAGAAGC
rnacentral:ncRNA from 1 species